GAUGAACGCUGGCGGCGUGCUUAACACAUGCAAGUCGAACGGAAAGGCCCUGCUUGCAGGGUACUCUAGUGGCGAACGGGUGAGUAACACGUGGGUGAUCUGCCCUGUACUUUGGGAUAAGCCUGGCAAACUGGGGCUAGUACCGAAUAUGACAAGUGUUUGUAUGCGAUUGUGUAAAGCUUUUGCGGUAUGGGAUGAGCUCGCGGCCUUUCAGCUUGUUGGUGGGGUAAUGGCCUACCAAGGCGUCGACGGGUAGCCGGCCUGAGAGGGUGUACGGCCACAUUGGGACUGAGAUACGGCCCAGACUCCUACGGGAGGCAGCAGUGGGGAAUAUUGCACAAUGGGCGCAAGCCUGAUGCAGCGACGCCGCGUGGGGGAUGACGGCCUUCGGGUUGUAAACUCCUUUCGCAACCGACGAAGCCUUUUGGUGACGGUAGGUUGAGAAGAAGCACCGGCUAACUACGUG
rnacentral:rRNA from 1 species